GAGUUUGAUCCUGGCUCAGGACGAACGCUGGCGGCGUGCCUAAUACAUGCAAGUCGAGCGGACCGACGGGAGCUUGCUCCCUUGGGUCAGCGGCGGACGGGUGAGUAACACGUGGGUAACCUGCCUGUAAGACUGGGAUAACUCCGGGAAACCGGGGCUAAUACCGGAUGCUUGAUUGAACCGCAUGGUUCAAUCAUAAAAGGUGGCUUUUAGCUACCACUUGCAGAUGGACCCGCGGCGCAUUAGCUAGUUGGUGAGGUAACGGCUCACCAAGGCGACGAUGCGUAGCCGACCUGAGAGGGUGAUCGGCCACACUGGGACUGAGACACGGCCCAGACUCCUACGGGAGGCAGCAGUAGGGAAUCUUCCGCAAUGGACGAAAGUCUGACGGAGCAACGCCGCGUGAGUGAUGAAGGUUUUCGGAUCGUAAAACUCUGUUGUUAGGGAAGAACAAGUACCGUUCGAAUAGGGCG
rnacentral:rRNA from 1 species